rnacentral:rRNA from 1 species
CAGCUUUUUCAUGAUUCGGUGGAUGGUGGUGCAUGGCCGUUCUUAGUUCGUGGAGCGAUCUGUCUGGUUUAUUCCGAUAACGAGCGAGACUCUGGCCUACUAACUAGUCCGCGCAUUGCCUCUGUGCCGUUGGACUUCUUAGAGGGAUUCGCGGUGUUCAGCCGCAAGAAAUGGAGCAAUAACAGGUCUGUGAUGCCCUUAGAUGUCCGGGGCUGCACGCGCGCUACACUGGCAGAAUCAGCUGGCUUGUCCUGCCCCGAAAGGGGCGGGUAAACCCGUGAAAAUCUGCCGUGAUUGGGAUCGGAAAUUGCAAUUAUUUUCCGUGAACGAGGAAUUCCAAGUAAGUGCGUGUCAUCAACACGCGUU